CAUGGCCAACUUGCAGGUGUUCCUAUAUACUCCUACAGUACUACCACUGUGUAAGAAAGGAUUUACUAAAUCAAAUUAUUUUGGUACUAAAAAAAUAUUAAAAAUAUUUAACAUACUGAGCGGCGCUUUUAUAAAUUUUUACAAUAUUUUUCAUACAUUUAAAAUUUAUUUAAGACAUUUUAACUUAGGCGCUGUUUAGAUUGGAGAUGAAAAAUUUUUGGGUGUC
rnacentral:lncRNA from 1 species